UCAAGUGUAUUAACUGUUCUUAUCAGUUUAAUAGGUGAUAUUUCCCGCAUGCGGGACUAGUCUAUUAAAUGGAUUUUCAGUAUUGGAAGUUGAAUUAGGACGUUGCUCUAUCCGCUGCACGCAUCGACCUGGUAUUGCAGGUCUCUCUCUCUGUCUCUGU
rnacentral:snRNA from 1 species